UACGAAGGGUGCAAACGUUGCUCGGAAUUAUUGGGCGUAAAGCGCACGUAGGCGGCUUGGCAAGUCGGAUGUGAAAUCCCUCGGCUCAACCAAGGAAGUGCAUCCGAAACUGCUGAGCUUGAGUACUUAAGAGGAUCGCGGAAUUCCCGGUGUAGAGGUGAAAUUCGUAGAGAUGGGGGAGAACACUCGUGGCGAAGGCGGCCAGCUAGACCAGUUCUGACACUGAGGCGCGACAGCGUGGGGAGCAAACAGG
rnacentral:rRNA from 1 species